GUGCUUCGUUGCAUCCAGUUGGGUAAAGAGCAAGUUAAAUGAAUGAUUUGCUCUCCUUCAGUCAAACUUAAGUUGGAUGUAAAACGAGCCUUUGGGAAGCUGAAAGAGAGGGACCAGUGCAACUAACACAGGCAUGUACACGGUGCCUGCUCCAAAGAACCAGCUGGUUGCAAGGGAAGUUGCAUCGUAAAAAGAUUUUGGCUAUGUGACUACAUUGAAGUUGGUCAAAGUGAUGGAAAACUCCAUUCAUAGCUACCAGAAAUACAUAAGCCUGAGGAAGAUGAUUCAACAUCCUUGCCAGGCACGUACACACACACUUUAACAGGGCUGUUCAGACAAGUUCCCUUUCUACCUCCUCUUCAAGCCACAGAAUGAAUGAAUGCUUCGUUACAGCCAUCCAGAAAAAAUUAAGAGACAUAAAAAAAGAGUGCCUUUUUAAAAAAACCACACAUUCUGAAACCUGCUGCCAAGUCUUCAGCUUCUUCUUCGACUCAGCUUUUCAUAUGUUUUAUCUAUAUUAACUUGCCUCAGCUGAUUAUCCUAGCAAAUUAUAGCUUCAAGGCAUGCAGUUAGAGCAUGUCAUAAAAUGGCCCAUCCACAACACAUUUACAAUACAUAGAAUAGAGUUGGGCAGUUGCUUUAGAAAGCAAAUUGGUGGUGCUUGACUAACUAUUGGUUACCUACUUUAUCAGCCAAGUAAUGAUAAGCUGAAAAUUUAUGCUAGCAGAUUUCAACAGCCUAGUGCUGGAUUUAUGGCUAUUUAAGAGUUCAGACAGAAAGCAGCAAAGAGAACCCUACAAGACAUCCUUGAAGCUAAUUUUUAUAUGUGCAGUUCUGGGUAGCCAUUAAGGGGGAGUCAUUUGAAUUUGCAUAGUGCGAGAAGAAGAUGCAGUGACUUCAGAAAGAGAAGGAGGAAGUCUACCAAUCUACAUGUAGAUCUAAACAACAGAAGAAAAAGAAAAUGUACUUUAUCUAUAUUCCUGUUACACUAUUACUAGGUCAGAUCACUUGCUAGUUGUUAAUUUUUGUUGGUGCUUUAUUCCAGUAAUCUGGAGAGAGGGCUUGUAUCACAGUGAUGUGGGAUAGUAGUAGCCCUUUUUGGAUCUCUGCAGGGUGUCGCUUACCCACUGCUACACAUUAAGAGAAGAUUUUGCCCACAUUGGAAAAUUUUGCCCUCAGUGUAAGUUUGUUUUUGCUGGUUGGAGUGAACAAUAAAUAUUUCUUCAAGCAAGGAAAAGUUAAAAAAAGUAUGAUCACUGGAUCUGGAAGUACUUGUGUAUUAUUCACACUAGAUUAAGACAGAAUGACAAAGAUGAAACAAAGAUGCUUUGCUCAUGGAAAACACCUCUGUCUGGUUUUAGGGAAUCCCCUUCAGGCCGUUUUACAGGGGCCAAACUCAUUCAAAAGUGCUCCCAUCCAGCUAGCAUGAGGGGAUGAUGAGGAUGCUGGGAAAGUAGGGGACAAGGAAGUUAACGUCUAGCAAUUUCUUCCUGCUAACAGAAAAGUGAAUACCUGUUGAUGUGAGGAGAGGACACAUGUCAAUAUUAUGAGUAUAAGAGCUCUUUAGGAUGGGAGUGAGCAUCCUGUUAAUGUCAUGGGCACUGGGAAAGAUUUAAUUUGAAAAGCCAUAUCUCCUUUCCAUUCA